rnacentral:tRNA from 1 species
GGCCGCGUGGCGAGAAGGGUAACGCGUCGGUCUUCGGAACAGAAGAUUGCAGGUUCGAGUCCUGCCAUGGUCG